UUUGUACUCCCUUUGUCCCAAAAUUCUUGUCUUAAAUUUGUCUAAAUACGGAUGUAUCUAGUUACAUUUUAGUGUUAGAUACAUCCGUAUCUAAACAAAUGUAAGACAAUAAUUUUGGGAUGGAGGGAAUACUAC
rnacentral:pre_miRNA from 1 species